rnacentral:rRNA from 1 species
UACGGAGGGUGCGAGCGUUGUCCGGAAUCAUUGGGCGUAAAGCGCGCGUAGGCGGCCCGGUAAGUCGGAUGUGAAAUCUCACGGCUCAACCGUGGAACUGCAUUCGAAACUGUCGGGCUAGAGGCAGGUAGGGGAGAGUCGGAAUUCCCGGUGUAGCGGUGAAAUGCGCAGAUAUCGGGAGGAACACCGGUGGCGAAGGCGGAUCUCUGGGCCUGUCCUGACGCUCAGGCGCGAAAGCUAGGGGAGCGAACAGG